rnacentral:snRNA from 1 species
GUGGUAUGUUAAGCACAUAUACUAAAAUUGGAAUGAUAUGGAGAAGAUUAGCAUGGUCCCUGCACAGGGAUGACAUACAAAUUCAUGAAGCUCUAUAUUA